CUACGCACUCCUACGGGAGGCAGCAGUGGGGAAUAUUGCACAAUGGGCGCAAGCCUGAUGCAGCCAUGCCGCGUGUAUGAAGAAGGCCUUCGGGUUGUAAAGUACUUUCAGCAGUGAGGAAGGUGGGUAUGUUAAUAGCAUAUUCAUUUGACGUUAGCUGCAGAAGAAGCACCGGCUAACUCCGUGCCAGCAGCCGCGGUAAUACGGAGGGUGCGAGCGUUAAUCGGAAUUACUGGGCGUAAAGCGCAUGCAGGUGGUUUGUUAAGUCAGAUGUGAAAGCCCGGGGCUCAACCUCGGAAUUGCAUUUGAAACUGGCAAACUAGAGUACUGUAGAGGGGGUAGAAUUUCAGGUGUAGCGGUGAAAUGCGUAGAGAUCUGAAGGAAUACCGGUGGCGAAGGCGGCCCCCUGGACAGAUACUGACACUCAGAUGCGAAAGCGUGGGGAGCAAACAGGAUUAGAUAACCUGGUAG
rnacentral:rRNA from 1 species